CGACAGGUGAGCGACUUGUGAUUCUCCUCACGACGAGCGCAAGGUGGGACACGAGGUGGGACACGGUGACAGCCAGGUGAACAGAGGGUCCUUGUCGCCUACACGUGUCAAUGUUUCACCUUUGUCGGCCGCAGCAUGUCUAAAAAAUUUCGGCUAAUCUCAUGGCUGGGAAAUAUUGUGGAAGGUCAAUGAGAUUGAGAUAUAAACACAACUACAGAAGUAAAGCAACAACAUGUCUGUCAACAAUAGUGAAAAAGAAACAAUAGUGGAAAUGAGGCUUCACGAUUAUCAGCUGUUGCUAUCAAUGAGGCCCCAGCGGUUUACAUUUCGGCUCAGAAGAAAGGACGGAGAGAAAAAAAAACACCUUCCAGGCACGUCGUUAUAACAACCAGACUGCCAUCUGCUGAAGCAAAACACACAAAAAGUCGUCUGGGAGAUAAACAUCUUGGACAUAUUUCUUAGGAAACUGUGUCCCGAGACAGUGGCUGAAGCUGGUCGAGCGACAAAUUGCUGGAUGCCAGUGUUUCUAUGUCAUCGAGUUCUUUCUUCACCGAGGUUUUUCUUUUUUUUUUUUUUUUUUAGUACAGGAUUGUGUGUCUGCAAUUUACUUGGAUUUGGAAAGCUUUCUUUUCUAUGAUUGCACUUUUUUUAAAAAGUGCUUGCCCCAACCUUCAACUUAAAUAUUAAAAAGCCAGCAGAAUUUCUUAAACUCGACAGAUUGUGAUAGUCAUGAACGGUAUGUUUGUGUGCGCGUGCCUAUGUCUGAGCGUGCACGUGCGUGUGUAUGCGUGCGUCCUUAAGGAAUGCAUACGAGGAAGGAGAGAGAGAUCAAAUUGCAAGAAGAUGAAAAAUGUUAAACCAGAACAGCUGUCGCCAGACACUACACAUCCCUGCACAACACCUCUACAGACAUCUUUGUCGCCAGCCACGUGCAUGGAGUAGACUGGUCCCAAGCUCUGAGCUGCUAUUGUAACAUCUACGUGUUCAUCAGUCGUCGUGAAAGAAAUACAAACAAAAGGAGUUUAUCCGUUCUACAAACUAUUCCUUGUACAACGUGUGUUCCCGUAGCGCCGUCUGGCGAGGACAACUCCAUGUUGUGCUGACCUGGGCCCUGACUUUGGACUGGGUCUGUGGUGUGUUAAAAAACCACUCACCCAACCUUACUCUCUAUCGAAAGUCAAAGGUUAGUUGUAAAGACGAGUUCAAAAGUUCAAAGACUAUGUCAGAAAGUAAACGAACUGUGUUUAGACGGCGCAUGGGAUUUUUUUUGGACACGUGACUUUUGAAACCUUUGCGUGAAAACGUUUACAGGUAAACAGCGAAAGUGGCCUGAAGAUCUUGGCAGACACCUCAUGGGAUACGACUCCUGCUGCACAGGUGUUGAGAUAGAAGGUAGAUGAGGAUAAACAAAAGUUUCAAGGCAGUAAAACACACACACAGUCUCUUUCUCUCUCAGACAUUCUCUCUCUCUCACACACACACAUAAAUAAACACACUUGCAAACAAACACAUGCAUACACGCACUCUCACAGGGUAAAGAAGAAGACAGAGAUGAGAGCAGCAGGUGCAGGUUCUGUGCUUUGAAUCCCUGCGGCCAUGACGACGAGAAUAAAACCUUGCGACUUUAAGUCACGUGACAUGGGGCUUGAGGCACGUGCGGCGCGAACACGCUGCUUUCUCGCAAGGAUGAACGCAGAGCCUCAUUCACAGAAGAAUUAAGAAAUGUGGAAUUUGCUGCUAAACAUACCGUGUUCCUUACUGCUUGCCAGUUGGGGAUAAACAGCAUAAAGGACCAUUUAAAUCACGGAUCUUUAAACCACGGAUCUCUGCCUCUUCAACUAGACAUUUUUUUUUUCAAAUCGGGGUUCAAACAUUGAUCAUAAAACCAAAUAUUUUAAGUGUUCAAUAAAAGAUCUUGAAACCACGGAUCUUCAAGAAACUGGUCUUCAAAAUUCACCUUUAAAAUACGUCUUAAGAUCCCGGACCUUCAGACUGCGGAUCUUUAACCCCCCGAUUUUCAAACCCAGGUGGACACACUUUGCUGCCCGAUCAACAAACGCUAGCCAAACACAGGCCACUUAUUAGGAACAGAACAAGGGCAGACAAAUGGCCUUCAGGGGACGGAAUUACACGAAAAUCCUCCAAAUUGACGUUCAUUGACCAGCUUUCUGGGGUCAAUCGAUGACCGUUCAGUGCCCUGUGCUUUCGGGUUGAACUGUUUG